rnacentral:rRNA from 1 species
UACGUAGGGUCCGAGCGUUGUCCGGAAUUACUGGGCGUAAAGAGCUCGUAGGUGGUUUGUCGCGUUGUUCGUGAAAACUCACAGCUCAACUGUGGGCGUGCGGGCGAUACGGGCAGACUGGAGUACUGCAGGGGAGACUGGAAUUCCUGGUGUAGCGGUGGAAUGCGCAGAUAUCAGGAGGAACACCGGUGGCUAAGUCGGGUCUCUGGGCAGUAACUGACGCUGAGGAGCGAAAGCGUGGGGAGCGAUCAGG